UGUCCUAAACCUGGGUCUGUCCCUGC
rnacentral:piRNA from 1 species